CAGUUACACAGGGAAACGCCCCGUCUCCAACAUGGUCAUUGUUGACGUUAAGAUGCUGUCAGGAUUCAUCCCUGUGAAGUCAUCAGUGAGGAAGCUGGAAGGACAUCACCGCAUCCACCGCACAGAACUGAGCACCAACCACGUGCUGCUCUACAUGGAGCAGGUGAGCAAUGUGACUCAGAGCUUCUCCUUCGUGGUGGAACAGGACUUCCACGUGCAGAGCCUGAAGCCGGCGGUGGUGAAAGUCUACGAUU